CAGGGCAGAGCGUGGCUGGGCGCCAGCAGGAGAGGUGGCCGAGCAGGAGCCCAUCCAGGAAGAGAACAGAGAGGAGAAAAACUGCAGGCAUCAGAGAUAAACACGUGCAGAAUUAUGGAAAGGCAAUAUUUAAUAGUUCACCAAUCAUGUUCUCAUUUCCAAGCUGCUAUAGGCGUAUUUUCAGGGAAGAAUAAAAACAGGCAAGCAAGCUGAUGUGACUGGUCCUAAUCUCCUCAUCUUCACGUCCCUGUGCCAUCGCUUGUUAUCUCCUUCAGCGGUGGAGGUUAUUCCCCUGUGCGCGAGGCAGAGGUGCCAGGUCCCUCAGCUACCGGCAAAGUUCGCAUUGAUGUGCUAAGGCUGCUAUGGCUCAGCUAGACCACAGGUCUCGUUCUCCCCUGGCUAUCAGUAUCUAUCUGGUGGCUCUUCUCUUACACCUCCAUUGUGGGACUCUCUUGUUCUGCACUAAUAUCCCACCAAGUACAAUAGGAUCUGUGAAUAGGCCUUUUAGGCACUGCAUUAAUACCACAAAUAAAAAAAGAAGUAACUGUUCCUAAAUGGAAUAGCUCUUUCAAGGAGGUAUUACCUUUAAUCAUUUUUAAAUUUGUGUAAGGCAACUUGGAAUUACCUACAAAGGACUCUCUAUAAUGCCAGAUUGUAUUGCAUUUAAUACCUACGCUUUUAGCCCUCUCUUUCCUU